UAAACAGCAAAGUUAUGUUGAAUUCAUUGAAUUCUAGGUGCGGUCGCGACCAAAGAUCCGUUAUGAUCCCACCUAUGCAAACGCUCCAGCGAGUAAGAGGAUCGCAAACUAUGAACAUCACAUUUUAACUAGUACUAUAUAUGUAUAUGUCACAUGAUGGAAUGAUGUUUUCUUCUAUCAUUUAAAGAAAUAUCCAAUAUUACUGUAAAUGUUUAUAGCUGCAUAUAUUAGAAAUACUUCUUCAGAAAUUUACUUAUAUAUAUUAUUUAUAUGAUAAAGGUCAUCGGUUGUAUUUAGAAAAGAAUAUUCAAGUUUAUCAUUAGAAGAGUAAAAAUAGAAAAUCAAACUGCAAUCUGCUAUCUUUUAACAUUUGCACGGUUCAAAUUUCAAUAUACAAUGCAACGUUGUUAUACUUUAGAAAUAAUCGCAACAAUGUGCAUGAUUCAAAGUAAAAUUAUCCAGCUGACUAGACAUCCAACUGACAAUUAUUCGAGUUUUCAUCUUUACGUAAUCGUCGUGAUCGCGCGUGGCCACAAACCAUAGGAUAGGCGAGGUAAGAAGAAAGAGGAAGCGAGAUAUCGGAUUUAGGCCGCCGUUCCAAACAACAAUAUAUAUGUUGUAUGUAUGUAUGUAUGUAUGUAGAGGUGAAGCGGUCUCUGGACUAGGCAAGCUGAGCGAAAGAGCUGUGGCAAGGUCUAGGCUGGCUAGCAUUCAAGGUCGCAUGCACAGCGCAAAAGCCCCCGGAUCUAUCCCCGCUCCAGAUUUCUAGCGCCCUUUGCCUCUUCACCUUCUUUGUCGCUCUUACAUAUGCGUACACACAUUUUACUUUCCUCUCUCUUUCCCUCUUUCUCUCACUCCUCUAUCGUUUCUCCCUUCUCCUCGGUCAAUCGAGUCUCUUCUUGCUCUUUCCUGUAAUACACUCUCGCUCCCUCCUGUUCCUCUCAUUCCAUCCUCCUCCCUCUUUCUCUCAGCCCCUUCCUAAUCGCCUGCUAUUCCCCUCUCACGCCGCUUUGCCCUUUCCGCGUGCAACAUCGAUUUACUCAUAAAAAUUCCCCGCGUUCAACUUUAUCACUCGUCUAUUACUUCCUGGUCGAUGUUCGACGUCUCUCGUUCUCGAAUUUAUCGUUGUAAUAAAUGCAACAAAAGCAUGAUCGAUUCGUGGGGUAAUUUAGCAGCAAUGCCUGACGUUACUUGAAUUGCUUAUUUACAUGUCUUCUCAUGCAUUUGCAUAUACAUAUAUACGGAGUAGGCAUGUGUAUUAUUGACACGCGCGACUUGCCAGCUAGGUAUAAAGAGGAACAAGGAUGUGCUGAGUCUAGUAAAGAAAACGGAAUCUCUGACUCGCAGGCGCAAAUUCAAACUUGCUUUGUCCCGCAAACUUAUAUGAAUAAAAUGGUAACAUGGAAUGAAAAAUAGUUUUUGUGAAAUUCUUAUUUGAAUAAGAAUGGUUCG